UUCAGCCUCCCAAAGUGCUGGAUUACAGGCGUGAACCACCGCACCAGGCCAAUCAUCUGCUUCUUAAACCAAACUGAGACUUUGCUGGGGCCGGGGCCGUGCCUCAUUCGUGUGUGUAGUGCCAGGACGUUGCACAGUACUUGGCAGAUGAAUUUCACAGCCACCCACUGAAGCCACUGGAGAUCUGAGGAAUCCCAAAGACAAGAAUGGGAAUCUCUCCCUUACCCUCAGAGAACCUUCAGAAGGCCAAGGGUUUCCCUUGGCCCCUAGGUGGAGGUAACCCAAACAGCAUGUGUCAGCUGAGCACUGGGCCUGACCUGCCCUGGACGGAAGUUCCUGCCUUGGAUUGGCCACUGGACCUGCCCUGGAGGGAAGUGCCUGACCUGGAUUGGCUGCUGUGGGCUAGCUGGGCUGGGGCUUCCACAGAAGAGCUGCCUUCUUGAAGGGUUAAAGCAUCAGCUCCAGGAAAUCAGGGUCAACCCGUGAUCUCCCAUUAGGGUUCAGGUGAUGGUCUAACCUGCUGUGCCUCCUCCAUCAUGGGCUUGAUGAACACUGACUGGAUUUGAAUGCCCAAAAGUCUGGGACUGAGUCAAGCUGUCUGGAACUACUGUCUGGAAGAGCCUCUUCCCCAUCCCAGCAACUGUACCCAUCAAUCAGGAACUGUUGCUGAACCCAGGGCUGCCUGGAUAAACAUUUAUAAGACCCAGAGGGAUCAUUAGUAGAGGGUAGAGGAUGUCUUUGCUUGAACCCAAGUCCAAAACUGAACUCACCCUUUGCCCUUUAACUCAUAGAAAUUCAAAUGAGGCAAAGGUGAGGAGAGAGAACAACUUAAAUCAGUGGUUCUCAACCUUGUCUGCACCUUAGAAUCUCUAAGGAGCUUUUAAGAAUUCAGAUGCGUACACUGUUCUCUAGAAGGAUGGAAUCAGAAUCUCUGGGGGUGGAACCCAGGCAUCUGUAUUUUUCAAAGCUCCCCAGGUGAUUCCAAUGUGCAGCCAAGGUUGAGAAUCAUAGACUCAAAUAGUGCUUGGAGUUCCUGCUGGUCAUUCUACCCAUGGCCGAAAACCCUGGGGUGAAGAAGUGGAAGACCUGAUUCUUCUAUUUCUGUGGAGUUCCUUGUGUUUUUCCUGUAAUGAGCAUCUCUCCAUGCUGAGUGCGAUUUUUGGGGUUUAAGAUCUGUAUUUCAGCUGAGAGCAGUGGCAUGCACCUAUAACCCCAGCUGCUUAGGAGGCUGAGGCAGGAGGAUCG
rnacentral:lncRNA from 1 species